GCUGCAGUGGCCUGUGUUAGUGCCACUGCACUCCAGCCUGGGCGACAGAGUGAGACUCUGUCUUCUUAAGAUCAGUAAUAUAUGCACAAAAGAUAAAAUUCAAAAGGUACCAUAAAAAGUAUUCACAAAGCUUCUGCAGUGACAGUGUCAUAGCCAACGUUCAAGAAAUACAUGAUUUUAAGGAUCUUUCUCUACAAUGUGCUGUCUUCCAACCAGAGCUGGUCCCACACAUGAGAGGAAAAAGUAACCUAACAUGGUUUCCAAGCCACACCAUGGCUGGUAACCUAAGAUCAUCUGUGCAUUCUUCAUGGCAUUUCUUACAAUGAUGAGAAUGAAAUGUAAUAGGAGUUACUCCUUUGUUUUAAAGCAUUGAUGCUCUUACUUGAAGUCCAAAUAUGCUAUCUGAGGAAAAAUAUUAAACAUGGGUUACCACAGUGUGUGCUGGUUUGGGGCACUAAUUGAAAAGCAGCCCCAGGUGGGCCACCAGGCAAAGUGGGGACCUCCAGACAGAUUCACACAGAUGACAGGCCUUGAACUGAAAUUUUUGCCAGGACCCGUUACACUACGUGAAGUAGGUCAAAAUUCUAAGGUGGUCCCAAGACACCUUGUCCCUGCAAUACCCACACCCUCUCCUAGUUAUUCAACAGUAUUCUGGCUGCUGUGUGAAGGGAUUCUACAGGUGUAACUGAAGUCCCAAGUCGGUUGACCUUAAGAUAGGGAGAUUCUUUGGAUGGGCCUCACCAAUCACAUGAGACCUUAAAUCUGGGGCUAGAGGUCAAACACGGGGGAAAUUGGAGAUUUCAAGCAUGAGGAAGCUCUGGCAUAUGAGAAGUUCUCUCUUGCAGAUGAAGGAGGCCAAGAGGCAAGGAAUACAGGUGGCCACUAGAUGCUGAGAGUAGCCCGGGGCUCACAGCCAGCUGGGAAACAAAGACCUCAGUCCGACAGCUGCAAGGAACUAAGUUCAGCCAACAAACUGAAUGAACUUGGAAGCAGGUCGUUUCCCACAGCCUCCAAAGGAGCACAGCGUGCACUUCUGACCUACCAACUGUCCUAACUGCUUUAGAUGAGUCCCAGCUAAGACAUCCAAAUUACUAACUGCUUAUGAUGGCCUUCUCAAGAAAUGGGCUAUUUGAAAGAGACAUCAAAGCAUUUAUGGGACUCUGUCUGACAUCUGGAAAUCGGCUUCGUGGUAUAAAGAAAAGAUAUCCAUCUGAAGUCAAACUACAUCAGCUGAAAAAUCAGGAGUUUGGAAGUUUGACUCUAAAUCUACUGUUCUCUCCAAGAAGUUAUCAAUGUCUUCAAAACGUUGAUUACUUUAAGACAGGCUUUUCUGCAAACUACUAUCAAUGUUUAUAAUAUUAAAUGUUUACAAUAUUAUAUGUUCAUAAUUUAGAUAUUUGCAAUUCCAAAGAUGGUGAACAAUUUGGGAAAUCCAUGAUGACAUGCGUUUUUCAUAGAACGCCCAGCCCCGAAGUUGUUCGGCAUUACAUAAAAGAU
rnacentral:lncRNA from 1 species